CUGGCUCAGGACGAACGCUGGCGGCGUGCCUAACACAUGCAAGUCGAGCGGGGACAUACGACGGAGUCAAAGUUUCGGAUGGAGACGAAGAUGUAUGUUCUAGCGGCGGACGGGUGAGUAACGCGUGAGCAACCUGUCCCUUACAGGGGGAUAACACAGCGAAAGUUGUACUAAUACCGCAUGAGACCACGGGAGGACAUCCUCCAGGGGUCAAAGGAGCAAUCCGGUAAGGGUGGGCUCGCGUCCGAUUAGAUAGUUGGUGAGGUAACGGCCCACCAAGUCGACGAUCGGUAGCCGACCUGAGAGGGUGAUCGGCCACAUUGGGACUGAGACACGGCCCAAACUCCUACGGGAGGCAGCAGUGGGGAAUAUUGGGCAAUGGGGGAAACCCUGACCCAGCAACGCCGCGUGAGGGAAGAAGGUUUUCGGAUCGUAAACCUCUGUCCUUGGUGAAGAGGAAGAGACGGUAGCCAAGGAGGAAGCCCCGGCUAACUACGUGCCAGCCGCAGC
rnacentral:rRNA from 1 species